CUCAUGAGCAUACUCGGCAGUGCCCUUCCCCUGUACAGGUGCAGUGCCUGCUCUCACCUGGUCAGAUACUCUCAUGCCCAAACUGUAAACAAUGGCUGAGAACAGAUGACAACAAUAACAGCGCCGAAAAAUGCCCCACCGUUGCCCACGUCGAAGAGAAGAAAUAAGAAGACUGCAGAAAAGCAGUGCAAAAACAAAGAAUUGGACCGAGCCAGAGAGAAAACUAGGAUAACUAUGGAAGCAUGAUUUCAGAGGUGGAGGAGCUGCGGGAUUUGUAAGGACUCAAGAGCAACACAGAGUUAGCUGCUUUUCUGCUGGACAAAAACAAAUGACACAAACAGCCAGAGGAAGAGGGAGAAGCCGGAGAUGUAGAGGUUCCUCUGGGAUCUGAACAGCUUCAUGUGGAUGUGGUCGUAUACAGUCGGGUUCACCUUGGCAUCCUGCAUGGGCUGAGGCCCCGAGUACUUCUGAACCUCACGGAGAGCAUCUGAGAGUGGGUGAUUGCUUACCAAGGAAAAGAACAAUAAGAACCAUGAUCAUGGUGAAGAAGCACUUGUUCCAAUAAGGAGACAACCAGUUCCAUAUUCUCAAGUUGAAAACAGAGCGCCAUCUACAGAGGAGGUUAAAAGGAUGUGUGAGUGUCAGAAAGGACAUGGACACACUCUGCUGCUGGAUAGAGAGGGGCCCCGAAGAGAUGGCAUCUGAAUUGGGGACGGCUGCCUAAGAGAAGCAGCCCUGGGCGAGGGAGAGGACAGGACAUAAUGUAUGUGACUGGGACUGCAGCCAUGACACAGAGCAUAGGGGUGAAGGAAAAGGACACGCCAGGGUCAAGUGAUUCUAAUAAGGCUCACAGUGAAGCAUCAGUUCACCUCUGCUAUUGACUACCAGUGUAUUGACCUAUUUUUUUCUCUUCAGGUCACCUGAGGUUAGAGGUGUAUAGCAGUGGCCUGCUAACCUAUCCGAUAUGCUAAUUAGUUGACCUUGAGAGAUUUGCUGCAAAUGUCACGUCAAUAAAACUGGUCCUACAUUGACUAAAGACAUGAAACUACUGGAACUCAAUAUAGUAGCAUUUCAUAACAAUAAAGGUAGAUGACACGUUCUUCAGUUAA